rnacentral:rRNA from 1 species
GAUGAACGCUAGCGGCAGGCCUAAUACAUGCAAGUCGAACGGUGUCUUCGGACAUAGUGGCGCACGGGUGCGUAACACGUAUGCAACCUACCUUACAUUGGGGGAUAGCCUUUCGAAAGGGAGAUUAAUACCGCAUAAGACAGUAGCUGGGCAUCCAGCAGCUGUUAAAGAUUUAUCGAUGUAAGCUGGGCAUGCGUCCAAUUAGCUAGUUGGUGAGGUAACGGCUCACCAAGGCAAUGAUUGGUAGGGGAACUGAGAGGUCAAUCCCCCACCCUGGCCCUGAGAUACGGGCCAGACUCCGCCGGGAGGCAGCAGUAGGGAAUAUUGGGCAAUGGACGGAAGUCUGACCCCGCCCUGCCGCGUGCAGGAUGAAGGCGUUUUGCGUUGUAAACUGCUUUUAUACAGGAAGAAACGACUCUUGCGAGAGGCAUUGACGGUACUGUAUGAAUAAGCACCGGCUAACUCCGUGCCAGCCGCCGCAGUAAAAC